GGGAAAGGAGAGGGAACAAGAGGGGAGGGGGUGUAUGGACCUCACUGGUUACGGGACCUACAGGCACCCCAAUUGUGCUCUCAUAAUUUCUGGAGGUGAGGACAAAAGAAAAGGAACAUUGGAGGAAAGGCCCGGGAUUUGAUUGUGAAGGGGCCCCCGACUCGCCGCCGCUGGUCGGGGUUGUCAAGACUACAGAGGGUGAGGGAAAAGCGGCGGAGCAGUCGACUCAAGACCGGGGUUUCCUGCCAGAGCAGCGGGAUUGUCACAAAACAACCCUUUACUCUUCGAUGGGCCUUAAGCGUUCCCAGAUUUCCACAGGGCUCCUAUAAACAACUGAAGAGAGAUGGACUCACAUGGAUGGAAAUACUGGAGAGAAACUGCAAAAGAAAAA